rnacentral:rRNA from 1 species
GAUGAACGCUGGCGGCGUGCCUAAUACAUGCAAGUCGAGCGAACAGACGAGGAGCUUGCUCCUCUGACGUUAGCGGCGGACGGGUGAGUAACACGUGGAUAACCUACCUAUAAGACUGGGAUAACUUCGGGAAACCGGAGCUAAUACCGGAUAAUAUAUUGAACCGCAUGGUUCAAUAGUGAAAGACGGUUUUGCUGUCACUUAUAGAUGGAUCCGCGCCGCAUUAGCUAGUUGGUAAGGUAACGGCUUACCAAGGCAACGAUGCGUAGCCGACCUGAGAGGGUGAUCGGCCACACUGGAACUGAGACACGGUCCAGACUCCUACGGGAGGCAGCAGUAGGGAAUCUUCCGCAAUGGGCGAAAGCUUGACGGAGCAACGCCGCGUGAGUGAUGAAGGUCUUCGGAUCGUAAAACUCUGUUAUAGGGAAGAACAAAUGUGUAAGUAACUAUGCACGUCUUGACGGUACCUAAUCAGAAAGCCACGGCUAACUACGUG